rnacentral:misc_RNA from 1 species
GUGAAUGGGCCGAAAGGUCCUUAACACAUCCAACACCUCUGUGAAACUUGUCGGGCCUCCGGGCCCCGUUUUUUUACAAACACCUGUGUAAAUGAACGUCAUGUUAUCUUAAUACAAACA